rnacentral:rRNA from 1 species
AGUGGGGAAUAUUGGACAAUGGGCGCAAGCCUGAUCCAGCCAUGCCGCGUGAGUGAUGAAGGCCUUAGGGUUGUAAAGCUCUUUUGUCCGGGAAGAUAAUGACUGUACCGGAAGAAUAAGCCCCGGCUAACUUCGUGCCAGCAGCCGCGGUAAUACGAAGGGGGCUAGCGUUGCUCGGAAUCACUGGGCGUAAAGGGCGCGUAGGCGGACUUUUAAGUCGGAGGUGAAAGCCCAGGGCUCAACCCUGGAAUUGCCUUCGAUACUGGGAGUCUUGAGUUCGGAAGAGGUUGGUGGAACUGCGAGUGUAGAGGUGAAAUUCGUAGAUAUUCGCAAGAACACCAGUGGCGAAGGCGGCCAACUGGUCCGAUACUGACGCUGAGGCGCGAAAGCGUGGGGAGCAAA